AAUGCUAUACUUUCAUGGGUCAUUUCUAUAGUUUGUUAUUAGAGAAGUUUCUCUGAAUGUGUUGAGCACCAGAAACCACGAGGAGAUGCAGCAUUCUCUCCUGAACGGGAAGCCAGCUUUUGGCAUUGCUUUGAUGCAACUACCAUUUGCCAUUGAUGGCAAUGCAUCGCUUCCUCUAGGAGUGUAAGAGGGAGUGGAUGCAGUCAGAGUGG
rnacentral:snoRNA from 10 species